rnacentral:piRNA from 1 species
CACAAUGAUUUCUGUUCACUGCUCCA